ensembl:lncRNA
AACAACUCUAGUGUGUGUUACACUGUCCUCAUAUUGUGGGUAGCAGAACUGUACAGUGUUAAGUUUCUUUAGAAUCUGGUAUAAGGAAGUCGGAUCCUUCUGUAAUAAUGUUCACUGAUACAAAUAUGAUCUGUAGUUAAUUAUCUAGUCGGGAUUUAUACUAGAGAAUGUUUCUGACGUUAUAUUGUUGUCUUUUGUUGCAGACACCAAGUGCUGAGGUCCUGUCUCAGCCUCAUACUUACCCACUUCAUUCUUCCAACAGACACCAAGUGCUGAGGUCCUGUCUCAGCCUCAUACAGACCAAUCGACACCAAGUGCUGAGGUCCUGUCUCAGCCUCAUACAGACCAAUUGACACCAAGUGCUGAGGUCCUGUCUCAGCCUCAUACAGACCAAUCGGUGAGUGACUUACCCACUUCAUUC